GCCAACGUAGCUCAGUGGUAGAGCAGCUCAUUCGUAAUGAGCAGGUCGUGAGUUCAAUCCUCACCGUUGGCUCCA
rnacentral:tRNA from 4 species